rnacentral:rRNA from 1 species
UUAAGCGACUAAGCGUACACGGUGGAUGCCCUGGCAGUCAGAGGCGAUGAAGGACGUGCUAAUCUGCGAUAAGCGUCGGUAAGGUGAUAUGAACCGUUAUAACCGGCGAUUUCCGAAUGGGGAAACCCAGUGUGAUUCGUCACACUAUCAUUAACUGAAUCCAUAGGUUAAUGAGGCGAACCGGGGGAACUGAAACAUCUAAGUACCCCGAGGAAAAGAAAUCAACCGAGAUUCCCCCAGUAGCGGCGAGCGAACGGGGAGCAGCCCAGAGUCUGAAUCAGCUUGUGUGUUAGUGGAACGGUCUGGAAAGUCCGACGGUACAGGGUGAUAGUCCCGUACACCAAAAUGCACAGGCUGUGAACUCGAAGAGUAGGGCGGGACACGUGGUAUCCUGUCUGAAUAUGGGGGGACCAUCCUCCAAGGCUAAAUACUCCUGACUGACCGAUAGUGAACCAGUACCGUGAGGGAAAGGCGAAAAGAACCCCGGCGAGGGGAGUGAAAAAGAACCUGAAACCGUGUACGUACAAGCAGUGGGAGCACCUUCGGGUGUGACUGCGUACCUUUUGUAUAAUGGGUCAGCGACUUAUAUUCUGUAGCAAGGUUAACCGUAUAGGGGAGCCGAAGGGAAACCGAGUCUUAACUGGGCGUUAAGUUGCAGGGUAUAGACCCGAAACCCGGUGAUCUAGCCAUGGGCAGGUUGAAGGUUGGGUAACACUAACUGGAGGACCGAACCGACUAAUGUUGAAAAAUUAGCGGAUGACUUGUGGCUGGGGGUGAAAGGCCAAUCAAACCGGGAGAUAGCUGGUUCUCCCCGAAAGCUAUUUAGGUAGCGCCUCGUGAACUCAUCUUCGGGGGUAGAGCACUGUUUCGGCUAGGGGGUCAUCCCGACUUACCAACCCGAUGCAAACUACGAAUACCGAAGAAUGUUAUCACGGGAGACACACGGCGGGUGCUAACGUCCGUCGUGAAGAGGGAAACAACCCAGACCGCCAGCUAAGGUCCCAAAGUCAUGGUUAAGUGGGAAACGAUGUGGGAAGGCACAGACAGCCAGGAUGUUGGCUUAGAAGCAGCCAUCAUUUAAAGAAAGCGUAAUAGCUCACUGGUCGAGUCGGCCUGCGCGGAAGAUGUAACGGGGCUAAACCAUGCACCGAAGCUGCGGCAGCGACGCUUAUGCGUUGUUGGGUAGGGGAGCGUUCUGUAAGCCUGUGAAGGUGUGCUGUGAGGCAUGCUGGAGGUAUCAGAAGUGCGAAUGCUGACAUAAGUAACGAUAAAGCGGGUGAAAAGCCCGCUCGCCGGAAGACCAAGGGUUCCUGUCCAACGUUAAUCGGGGCAGGGUGAGUCGACCCCUAAGGCGAGGCCGAAAGGCGUAGUCGAUGGGAAACAGGUUAAUAUUCCUGUACUUGGUGUUACUGCGAAGGGGGGACGGAGAAGGCUAUGUUAGCCGGGCGACGGUUGUCCCGGUUUAAGCAUGUAGGCUGGUUGUCCAGGCAAAUCCGGAUAAUCAAGGCUGAGGUGUGAUGACGAGGCACUACGGUGCUGAAGUAACAAAUGCCCUGCUUCCAGGAAAAGCCUCUAAGCAUCAGGUAACACGAAAUCGUACCCCAAACCGACACAGGUGGUCAGGUAGAGAAUACCAAGGCGCUUGAGAGAACUCGGGUGAAGGAACUAGGCAAAAUGGUGCCGUAACUUCGGGAGAAGGCACGCUGAUAUGUAGGUGAAGCGACUUGCUCGUGGAGCUGAAAUCAGUCGAAGAUACCAGCUGGCUGCAACUGUUUAUUAAAAACACAGCACUGUGCAAACACGAAAGUGGACGUAUACGGUGUGACGCCUGCCCGGUGCCGGAAGGUUAAUUGAUGGGGUUAUCCGUAAGGAGAAGCUCUUGAUCGAAGCCCCGGUAAACGGCGGCCGUAACUAUAACGGUCCUAAGGUAGCGAAAUUCCUUGUCGGGUAAGUUCCGACCUGCACGAAUGGCGUAAUGAUGGCCAGGCUGUCUCCACCCGAGACUCAGUGAAAUUGAACUCGCUGUGAAGAUGCAGUGUACCCGCGGCAAGACGGAAAGACCCCGUGAACCUUUACUAUAGCUUGACACUGAACAUUGAGCCUUGAUGUGUAGGAUAGGUGGGAGGCUUUGAAGUGUGGACGCCAGUCUGCAUGGAGCCGACCUUGAAAUACCACCCUUUAAUGUUUGAUGUUCUAACGUUGACCCGUAAUCCGGGUUGCGGACAGUGUCUGGUGGGUAGUUUGACUGGGGCGGUCUCCUCCUAAAGAGUAACGGAGGAGCACGAAGGUUGGCUAAUCCUGGUCGGACAUCAGGAGGUUAGUGCAAUGGCAUAAGCCAGCUUGACUGCGAGCGUGACGGCGCGAGCAGGUGCGAAAGCAGGUCAUAGUGAUCCGGUGGUUCUGAAUGGAAGGGCCAUCGCUCAACGGAUAAAAGGUACUCCGGGGAUAACAGGCUGAUACCGCCCAAGAGUUCAUAUCGACGGCGGUGUUUGGCACCUCGAUGUCGGCUCAUCACAUCCUGGGGCUGAAGUAGGUCCCAAGGGUAUGGCUGUUCGCCAUUUAAAGUGGUACGCGAGCUGGGUUUAGAACGUCGUGAGACAGUUCGGUCCCUAUCUGCCGUGGGCGCUGGAGAACUGAGGGGGGCUGCUCCUAGUACGAGAGGACCGGAGUGGACGCAUCACUGGUGUUCGGGUUGUCAUGCCAAUGGCACUGCCCGGUAGCUAAAUGCGGAAGAGAUAAGUGCUGAAAGCAUCUAAGCACGAAACUUGCCCCGAGAUGAGUUCUCCCUGACCCUUUAAGGGUCCUGAAGGAACGUUGAAGACGACGACGUUGAUAGGCCGGGUGUGUAAGCGCAGCGAUGCGUUGAGCUAACCGGUACUAAUGAACCGUGAGGCUUAACCUU